rnacentral:rRNA from 1 species
UGAGGAAUAUUGGUCAAUGGACGCAAGUCUGAACCAGCCAAGUAGCGUGCAGGAUGACGGCCCUAUGGGUUGUAAACUGCUUUUAUAUGGGGAUAAAGUGGGGAACGUGUUCCCUUUUGCAGGUACCAUAUGAAUAAGGACCGGCUAAUUCCGUGCCAGCAGCCGCGGUAAUACGGAAGGUUCGGGCGUUAUCCGGAUUUAUUGGGUUUAAAGGGAGCGUAGGCCGUUUGGUAAGCGUGUUGUGAAAUGUAGGAGCUCAACUUCUAGAUUGCAGCGCGAACUGUCAGACUUGAGUGCGCACAUCGUAGGCGGAAUUCAUGGUGUAGCGGUGAAAUGCUUAGAUAUCAUGAAGAACUCCGAUUGCGAAGGCAGCUUACGGGAGCGCAACUGACGCUGAAGCUCGAAGGUGCGGGUAUCGAACAGG